UCAGGCUGCACCUAGUAGAGGGGGGAGUCUCAAGGAAUUUGUGGAUCUAUUUUUAAGCUACCAGGAAUCCGUGUGAAGCGAAGUAGGAGUCUUGGCAGGGAGAGGGGCGGACGGGGAGGGCAUGUUAUGUCAGGCAAAUGGUCUACCUCAAUUCAAGCUUCUGCGUUCUAGAUUUAAUGUGCUCAACAUCGCAGAGUAUACUUAGUCUCUGACUGCAAGUAGAUGGAUGCUACAUUGUAAGUAUUCAAGCCAGAAAGAACCUUCCAGAUCAUUGAUCCAACUUCCUCAUUUUACAGAAGGGAAAACAGGCCCACACAGGAGCAGUGACUUUCCCAGGAUAGCCAGCUGAGAUACCCUAAGAAGAGAUGAGCUCUAGAGAAGGUGAUUUCAGGGAAGAUAGAAACAAGCUGAAUUUGGGAUUCUCAGGAACUGCCAAGACGCUGAGGCCCUUCUGGCCCUGAGACAAGCUGCCCUCCUUCCAGAGAUGGCCAAGAGCGAGGCUGGCCAGAAAGAGAGGAAAUGGAAAUAAGCUCCCAGCUGCCUCACAGCCCCUCACAGCAGCCAGAGCAGUCACCGCUGCUUGCCGAUCGAGAACAUGGAGCAGAAAACUCCUGCUAUGUGGCCAGUCCUUCUCAGCAACUCAGGAACACCGGGAGCAGCUCAAGGCCAGAGCGUACAAUGAUAAAGAAAUAGACCAAGCUCUUCCCACUUCAUCCCUGCUUGUCGGACGGGUUGGGCCUGGACUGACUCCUCUCCUCAGACAGACCCCAUGGGCAGCAGUGCUGAUUUGGGGCAGUUUCCUGAAAUUGCAGCAUGGACCAAAUCACAGGCUUUGGACUGCACCACUCAUUGCCUGGAGGAACCUUCCUUCACUGGGCUAAACUUCAGCUUCCCAGCUAUGAGACGGGAUCGCCUCUCCCUUCCUCUGUGUGAUGCUGUGCGGAUUCAACAGGCUGUAAAUGUGUGAAGCACCAGCACACAUUAGACGCUCCAUACAUGCUCUAGAACUUUCUCUUACCCUGUGCAGGCAAGAUCUGCUUUCUACCAUAGUGCACUGCGCUAUCCAUACAACAAGGAUAAGAAUACGUAUUGUACUCAGUUAUGAGAAGUAAAAUAUCUAGAAAUUACUCAAUUAUUGCUAGAUGCAUCCCGAUCCAGCCCUCCCCCUUGACACCAAGUAGUUAGGCAGGAACCCACGACACAGA
rnacentral:lncRNA from 1 species